GCCCGGCUAGCUCAAUCGGUAGAGCGUAAGACUGUGUGUUCCCAGAUUGAUUCCCUUCCGUUUCCAUCACUAACCUCCUCCCAGUCUAAUCUUAAGGCUGCGGGUUCGACCCCCGCGUUGGGCU